rnacentral:lncRNA from 1 species
CACGAGGUCAUGAGUUCGAGACCAGCCUGGCCAACGUGGUGAAACCCUGUCUCUACUAAAGAUACAAAAAAUUAGCCGGGCGUGGUGGCAUGUGACUGUAAUUCCAGGUACUCGGGAGGCUGAGGCAGGAGAAUUGCUUGAAUCUGGGAGGCGAAGGUUGCAGUGAGCUGAGAUUGUACCAUUGCAUUCCAGCCUGGGUGACAGGGAGAGAUUCUGUCUGAAAACAACAACAACAACAACAACAACAACAACAGCAACAACAACAACAACAACAACAAAGCAGACAAUAACAAUCUAUGCUCUUCCAAGUCAGGUUGGAAGGGUGACAAUUGCUGACAUCGGCUAUCUAGCUUCACCAGAACCUCUGACUGUAGCAACGUAUCAUUUAUAAGAUCCUGCCUUCCUAGCUAGGGAAAGGAC